CGCAAUGACAGAAGAGACGAGUUGAUGAAGAAAAGACGUGAUCUGAUCUUCGUGAUCAAAUUUGGUUAAAUAUAGAUUAAAAAACCCUCUGAAUAUCGUACAAACAAUUAAAAUCAUUUAUUUUGAGCCAUCCAGCAUCUCAAGACGUCGAUUGAACAUUGUUGAGACGCAUUUUACUCGUUCAAAGACGCCAUGCUGGUCACGCGCAUGUGAUAGAGACACGCCUGUGUGAGAGAAAAAACGAACUCCGAGUUCACCGACGCCAUUGUAGGCUACACACGAGCGUGUGAGAGACACGCGCCUGUGAGCGAGUAAAAUCAAUUUGUAGAGUUCGCUGACGCCAUUGUGGGUCAUGUGUAAAGACACGCGCCUGUGUAAGAAAAAAAAAAGAGACUUGAUUGAGAGGUAAAUGAGUAAUAUAUCAUUUUUUUGUAGAAAUGGUAAUUGUAUAUUUUCUUUAUUUCGAUUGUUUUUAUCUUUGAUGUGAAAUUCAUUCUCAGAUUCACUAAAUGAAUGUUCUGGUCUGUGAUCAGGCCAGGUUUUUGAUGUCGAUACUCCUGCGAACUUCACAUUUGAUGGAAAGCCAACCAAAAUCUGCUACGGAGGAAAAAGGACGACACAUCAUAAAGAAGAGGACAAUAUCCUUUCUUUGAAAUUAUCAUCCCUGCUUGGAGAAAGCAAGUUGCUUUCAACCUAGAAAACUAUUAGAAUCCCUUCCUUGAGGGAAUUUACUGAACAUAACAGGAAAAGAGAAAAAAAAACUGAUCAGUACUACACAGAACAUUGAACUCUUGAUAGCAUACCAGUAACCCACUUGAUUAACAUUGGAGUCCUUAUUAGAUUAUCUGUGAGAUUUGUUGAGAGAAACAUUAAUUCUUCUAUCUGUUUCAUCCUCUUUCUUUUCUUCUCCUCUUUCUAAUAUUGAAAUGACCGGUCCGUGUAUAUUUUUGGGGUGAAAAGAGUGCACUCAAGGGAAAUUUUCAAAGACAAUCUUUAUUGUAUAUUGUUCAUAUGAAAUUGUAAUUCACUUGCUUUUGUUCUUUUGUAAUUUUCAAAUUAUAUUUCAAGAUCAAAUU